GACGAACGCUGGCGGCGUGCUUAAUACAUGCAAGUCAACUUGACUUUAGAUAGCAAUAUCGAAAAGUAGGGUGGCGCACGGGUGCGUAACGCGUAGGUAAUCUGCCCUGAGGUCUGACAUAACCCGUCGAAAGGCGGGCUAACAUCAGAUGAUAUAUAAUCACGACAUCGUGGAAAUAUCAAAUCUUCGGAGCCUUGGGAUGAGCCUGCGUCUGAUUAGGUAGUUGGCGGAGUAAUAGCCCACCAAGCCUACGAUCAGUAGCUGGUCUGAGAGGAUGAUCAGCCACACUGGAACUGAGACACGGUCCAGACUCCUACGGGAGGCAGCAGUAAGAAUAUUGCUCAAUGGGGAAACCCUGAAGCAGCAACGCCGCGUGAAGGAUGAAAUACUUUUGUAUGUAAACUUCUGUAAGAUGGGAAAAUAGUUACUCCUCGGGAGAAUGAUUGUACCAUCAGAGUAAGACCCCGGCUAACUACGUAGCCAGCAG
rnacentral:rRNA from 1 species